GUACUGGCUUUGGCAGCACAUACACUAAAAUUAGAAUGAAACAGAUUCGCAUAGCCUCUAUGCAAGGAUGAUGUGCAAAUUUGUGAAGCAUUCCUUUUUUUU
rnacentral:snRNA from 1 species